rnacentral:rRNA from 1 species
UACGUAGGCAGCGAGCGUUGUUCGGAUUCAUUGGGCGUAAAGGGUGUGUAGGUGGCGCCGUAAGUCGGGUGUGAAAUUUCGGAGCUUAACUCCGAAACUGCAUUCGAUACUGCGGUGCUUGAGGACUGGAGAGGAGACUGGAAUUCAUGGUGUAGCAGUGAAAUGCGUAGAGAUCAUGAGGAAGACCAGUGGCGAAGGCGGGUCUCUGGACAGUUCCUGACACUGAGACACGAAGGCCAGGGGAGCAAACGGGG